rnacentral:rRNA from 1 species
CUGGAACAACUGGAGGAAACUCCAGCUAAUGCCGGAUAAGACCACAGACCCCUCGGGGUCUGCGGCCAAAGAUGGCCUCUGCUUGCAAGCUAUCGCUGAGGGAUGGGCCUGCGGGUCAUUAGCUUGUUGGUGAGGUAACGGCUCACCAAGGCUAUGAUGACUAGCUGGUCUGAGAGGAUGACCAGCCACACUGGGACUGAGACACGGCCCAG